AACGAACGCUGGCGGCAGGCUUAACACAUGCAAGUCGAACGCCCCGCAAGGGGAGUGGCAGACGGGUGAGUAACGCGUGGGAAUCUACCCAGUUCUACGGAAUAACCCAGGGAAACUUGGACUAAUACCGUAUACGCCCUACGGGGGAAAGAUUUAUCGGAAUUGGAUGAGCCCGCGUUGGAUUAGCUAGUUGGUGGGGUAAUGGCCUUCCAAGGCGACGAUCCAUAGCUGGUCUGAGAGGAUGAUCAGCCACACUGGGACUGAGACACGGCCCAGACUCCUACGGGAGGCAGCAGUGGGGAAUAUCGGACAAUGGGCGCAAGCCUGAUCCAGCCAUGCCGCGUGAGUGAUGAAGGCCUUAGGGUUGUAAAGCUCUUUCAGUGGGGAAGAUAAUGACGGUACCCACAGAAGAAGCCCCGGCUAACUUCGUGCCAGCCGCCGCAGUAAAAC
rnacentral:rRNA from 1 species